UGGGGAAUCUUGCUCAAUGGGCGCAAGCCUGAAGCAGCAACGCCGCGUGAGGGAUGAAGGCCUUCGGGUUGUAAACCUCUUUCAGCAGGGACGAAAAUGACGGUACCUGCAGAAGAAGCCCCGGCCAACUACGUGCCAGCAGCCGCGGUAAUACGUAGGGGGCGAGCGUUGUCCGGAUUUAUUGGGCGUAAAGAGCUCGUAGGCGGUUUGGUAAGUCGGGUGUGAAAGUCCGAGGCUCAACCUCGGGAAGCCACCCGAUACUGCUAUGACUGGAGUCCGGUAGAGGAGUGUGGAAUUCCUGGUGUAGCGGUGAAAUGCGCAGAUAUCAGGAGGAACACCAAUGGCGAAGGCAGCACUCUGGGCCGGUACUGACGCUGAGGAGCGAAAGCGUGGGUAGCAAACAGGAUUAGAUACCCACGUAGUCCCUGAGCGGGCUGGCAAGGCGCAU
rnacentral:rRNA from 1 species